rnacentral:hammerhead_ribozyme from 1 species
AUCCAACUGACGAGUCCCAAAUAGGACGAAACACGUGUCUAACUGGAU